AUGAUGUGGAUUAAUUCGAUGCAACGCGAAAACCUUACCUACCCUUGACAUGUCCGGAAUCCCGAAGAGAUUUGGGAGUGCUCGCAAGAGAACCGGAACACAGGUGCUGCAUGGCUGUCGUCAGCUCGUGUCGUGAGAUGUUGGGUUAAGUCCCGCAACGAGCGCAACCCUUGCCAUUAGUUGCUACGAAAGGGCACUCUAAUGGGACUGCCGGUGACAAACCGGAGGAAGGUGGGGAUGACGUCAAGUCCUCAUGGCCCUUAUAGGUGGGGCUACACACGUCAUACAAUGGCCGGUACAGAGGGUAGCCAACCCGCGAGGGGGAGCCAAUCCCACAAAGCCGGUCGUAGUCCGGAUCGCAGUCUGCAACUCGACUGCAUGAAGUCGGAAUCGCUAGUAAUCGCGGAUCAGGCAUGUCGCGGUGAAUACGUUCCCGGGCCUU
rnacentral:rRNA from 1 species